AAACCAGCACCUCAAGUGGUCAGGAGGAUUAUUGGGCCUAAAGCAUCCGUAGCCGGCUCUGUAAGUUUUCGGUUAAAUCUGUACGCUUAACGUACAGGCUGCCGGAAAUACUGCAGAGCUAGGGAGUGGGAGAGGUAGACGGUACUCGGGAGGAAGUGGUAAAAUGCUUUGAUCUCUCGAUGACCACCUGUGGCGAAGGCGGUCUACCAGAACACGUCCGACGGUGAGGGAUGAAAGCUGGGGGAGCAAACCGGAUUAGAAACCCCGGUAGUCC
rnacentral:rRNA from 1 species